GACGAACGCUGGCGGCGUGCCUAAUACAUGCAAGUUGAGCGAUGAAGAUUGGUGCUUGCACCAAUUUGAAGAGCAGCGAACGGGUGAGUAACGCGUGGGGAAUCUGCCUUUGAGCGGGGGACAACAUUUGGAAACGAAUGCUAAUACCGCAUAACAACUUUAAACAUAAGUUUUAAGUUUGAAAGAUGCAAUUGCAUCACUCAAAGAUGAUCCCGCGUUGUAUUAGCUAGUUGGUGAGGUAAAGGCUCACCAAGGCGAUGAUACAUAGCCGACCUGAGAGGGUGAUCGGCCACAUUGGGACUGAGACACGGCCCAAACUCCUACGGGAGGCAGCAGUAGGGAAUCUUCGGCAAUGGACGAAAGUCUGGCCGAGCAACGCCGCGUGAGUGAAGAAGGUUUUCGGAUCGUAAAACUCUGUUGGUAGAGAAGAGCGUUGGUGAGAGUGGAAAGCUCAUCAAGUGACGGUAACUACCCAGAAAGGGACGGCUAACUACGUG
rnacentral:rRNA from 1 species